UACAGAGGUCCCGAGCGUUGUUCGGAUUCACUGGGCGUAAAGGGUGCGUAGGUGGUCGGGUAAGUCUGAUGUGAAAUCUCUGGGCUCAACCCAGAAACUGCAUUGGAUACUAUCCGGCUAGAGGAGUGGAGGGGGGACUGGAAUACUUGGUGUAGCAGUGAAAUGCGUAGAUAUCAAGUGGAACACCAGUGGCGAAGGCGAGUCCCUGGACACUUCCUGACACUGAGGCACGAAAGCUAGGGGAGCAAACAGG
rnacentral:rRNA from 1 species